UUCUAAACCUUUUUUGGUUCUGGGGGCUCCCCUGUGGGCGGAUGGGUUUUUAUUUUGUCUUAUUUCUCAUUGCUCAAUUGCACUAAGAUGAAUUUAAAAGUCUUAGGGUUUCUCCUCUCAACAGGACCAGGAGAGCUGCUGCUGAAUUUCCAGCCAAGUGGAUUGGCAACAUCACGUGCUGAAGGUCCUGAGCUACCUCGAGCUUACACUCCACGAACUUACUAGGUGGAGCCUCUUUUCAUACUUAUAUCUUCAGUGCCAGGCCCAGGUAGCUUUGGAAUGUUGACUGGAGAUGGAGGAUAAGGGAUCCAGCCCU